UACGUAGGGUGCGAGCGUUUGUCCGGAUUUAUUGGGCGUAAAGAGCUCGUAGGCGGUUUGUCGCGUCGGCCGUGAAAUCUCCACGCUUAACGUGGAGCGUGCGGUCGAUACGGGCAGACUUGAGUUCGGUAGGGGAGACUGGAAUUCCUGGUGUAGCGGUGAAAUGCGCAGAUAUCAGGAGGAACACCGGUGGCGAAGGCGGGUCUCUGGGCCGAUGACUGACGCUGAGGAGCGAAAGCGUGGGGAGCAAACAGG
rnacentral:rRNA from 1 species